ACGAACGCUGGCGGCAGGCUUAACACAUGCAAGUCGAGCGGACCCUUCGGGGUCAGCGGCGGACGGGUGAGUAACGCGUGGGAACGUGCCCUUUGGUUCGGAAUAGCCCUGGGAAACUGGGAGUAAUGCCGAAUAAGCUCUACGGAGGAAAGAUUUAUCGCCAAAGGAUCGGCCCGCGUUGGAUUAGGUAGUUGGUGGGGUAACGGCCUACCAAGCCGACGAUCCAUAGCUGGUUUGAGAGGAUGAUCAGCCACACUGGGACUGAGACACGGCCCAGACUCCUACGGGAGGCGGCAGUGGGGAAUCUUGGACAAUGGGGGCAACCCUGAUCCAGCCAUGCCGCGUGAGCGAUGAAGGCCUUAGGGUUGUAAAGCUCUUUCAGCGGGGAAGAUAAUGACGGUACCCGCAGAAGAAGCCCCGGCUAACUCCGU
rnacentral:rRNA from 1 species